rnacentral:rRNA from 1 species
GAUGAACGCUGGCGGCGUGCCUAAUACAUGCCAGUAGAACGCUGAAGGAGGAGCUUGCUCUUCUGGAUGAGUUGCGAACGGGUGAGUAACGCGUAGGUAACCUGCCUGGUAGCGGGGGAUAACUAUUGGAAACGAUAGCUAAUACCGCAUGACAACAGUUAUUGCAUGAUAACUGUUUAAAAGGGGCAACUGCUCCACUACCAGAUGGACCUGCGUUGUAUUAGCUAGUUGGUGAGGUAACGGCUCACCAAGGCGACGAUACAUAGCCGACCUGAGAGGGUGAUGGGCCACACGGGGACGGGGAAACGGCCCAGACCCCUACGGGAGGCAGCAGUAGGGAAUUUUCGGAAAGGGACGGAAGUUUGACCGAGAAACGCCGGGGGGGGGAAGAAGGUUUUGGGAUCGGAAAGCCCGGUUGUAAGGGAAGAAGGGGGGGGGGGGGGGAAAGUUCAAACGGGGAGGGUAUUUUACAAAAAAGGGAGGGUAAACUACGG